rnacentral:rRNA from 1 species
GACGAACGCUGGCGGCGUGCUUAACACAUGCAAGUCGAACGGAAAGGCCCUGCUUUUGUGGGGUGCUCGAGUGGCGAACGGGUGAGUAACACGUGAGUAACCUGCCCUUGACUUGGGGAUAACUUCAGGAAACUGCGGCUAAUACCGGAUAGGAGCUCCUGCUGCAUGUUGGGGGUUGGAAAGUUUCGGCGGUUGGGGAUGGACUCGCGGCUUAUCAGCUUGUUGGUGGGGUAGUGGCUUACCAAGGCUUUGACGGGUAGCCGGCCUGAGAGGGUGACCGGCCACAUUGGGACUGAGAUACGGCCCAGACUCCUACGGGAGGCAGCAGUGGGGAAUAUUGCACAAUGGGCGGAAGCCUGAUGCAGCAACGCCGCGUGCGGGAUGACGGCCUUCGGGUUGUAAACCGCUUUCGCCUGUGACGAAGCGUGAGUGACGGUAAUGGGUAAAGAAGCACCGGCUAACUACGUG